AACUGACGCUGAGGCGCGAAAGCGUGGGGAGCAAACAGGAUUAGAUACCCUGGUAGUCCACGCCGUAAACGAUGAGUGCUAGGUGUUGGGGGGUUCCACCCUCAGUGCUGAAGUUAACACAUUAAGCACUCCGCCUGGGGAGUACGACCGCAAGGUUGAAACUCAAAGGAAUUGACGGGGGCCCGCACAAGCAGUGGAGCAUGUGGUUUAAUUCGAAGCAACGCGAAGAACCUUACCAGGUCUUGACAUCCUUUGACCACUCUAGAGAUAGAGCUUUCCCCUUCGGGGGACAAAGUGACAGGUGGUGCAUGGUUGUCGUCAGCUCGUGUCGUGAGAUGUUGGGUUAAGUCCCGCAACGAGCGCAACCCUUGACCUUAGUUGCCAGCAUUCAGUUGGGCACUCUAAGGUGACUGCCGGUGACAAACCGGAGGAAGGUGGGGAUGACGUCAAAUCAUCAUGCCCCUUAUGACCUGGGCUACACACGUGCUACAAUGGAUGAUACAAAGGGUUGCGAAGCCGCGAGGCCAAGCCAAUCCCAAAAAGUCAUUCUCAGUUCGGAUUGUAGGCUGCAACUCGCCUACAUGAAGCCGGAAUUGCUAGUAAUCGCGGAUCAGCAUGCCGCGGUGAAUACGUUCCCGGGCCUUGUACACACCGCCCGUCACACCACGAGAGUUUGUAACACCCGAAG
rnacentral:rRNA from 1 species